rnacentral:rRNA from 1 species
UACGUAGGGUGCGAGCGUUAAUCGGAAUUACUGGGCGUAAAGGGUGCGCAGGCGGUUCUGCAAGUCAGGCGUGAAAUCCCCGGGCUUAACCUGGGAAUGGCGCUUGAAACUACGGGCCUGGAGUAUGGCAGAGGGAGGUGGAAUUCCACGUGUAGCGGUGAAAUGCGUAGAGAUGUGGAGGAACACCGAUGGCGAAGGCAGCCUCCUGGGCCAAUACUGACGCUCAUGCACGAAAGCGUGGGGAGCAAACAGG